UACGUAGGGGGCGAGCGUUUGUCCGGAUUUAUUGGGCGUAAAGAGCUCGUAGGCGGUUUGGCAAGUCGGGUGUGAAAACUCCGGGCUCAACUCGGAGACGCCACUCGAUACUGCCAUGACUCGAGUCCGGUAGGGGAGUGCGGAAUUCCAGGUGUAGCGGUGAAAAUGCGUAGAUAUCUGGAGGAACACCGGUGGCGAAGGCGGCAUCCUGGACCAAUAUUGACGCUGAGGAGCGAAAGCCAGGGGAGCAAAGCGGGG
rnacentral:rRNA from 1 species